GACGAACGCUGGCGGCGUGCUUAACACAUGCAAGUCGAACGGAAAGGCCCUGCUUUUGUGGGGUGCUCGAGUGGCGAACGGGUGAGUAACACGUGAGUAACCUGCCCUUGACUUUGGGAUAACUUCAGGAAACUGGGGCUAAUACCGGAUAGGAGCUCCUGCUGCAUGGUGGGGGUUGGAAAGUUUCGGCGGUUGGGGAUGGACUCGCGGCUUAUCAGCUUGUUGGUGGGGUAGUGGCUUACCAAGGCUUUGACGGGUAGCCGGCCUGAGAGGGUGACCGGCCACAUUGGGAUUGGGAUCCGGCCAAGACUCCUCCGGAGGCAGCAGUGGGGAAUAUUGCACAAUGGGCGGAAGCCUGAUGCAGCAACGCCGCGUGCGGGAUGACGGCCUUCGGGUUGUAAACCGCUUUCGCCUGUGACGAAGCGUGAGUGACGGUAAUGGGUAAAGAAGCACCGGCUAACUACGUG
rnacentral:rRNA from 1 species